UGCCCUCUGCGGAGUGGAAGACUAGUGAUUUUGUUGUGAAAAUGAACAAAAACCAACAACAAACCGCAGUCGUCCUCUCAGCACGGGGCC
rnacentral:pre_miRNA from 1 species